rnacentral:rRNA from 1 species
GAUGAACGCUGGCGGCGUGCCUAAUACAUGCAAGUCGAGCGAACAGACGAGGAGCUUGCUCCUCUGACGUUAGCGGCGGACGGGUGAGUAACACGUGGAUAACCUACCUAUAAGACUGGGAUAACUUCGGGAAACCGGAGCUAAUACCGGAUAAUAUAUUGAACCGCAUGGUUCAAUAGUGAAAGACGGUUUUGCUGUCACUUAUAGUUGGAUCCGCGCCGCAUUAGAUAGUUGGUAAGGUAACGGCUUACCAAGGCAACGAUGCGUAGCCGACCUGAGAGGGUGAUCGGCCACACUGGAACUGAGACACGGUCCAGACUCCUACGGGAGGCAGCAGUAGGGAAUCUUCCGCAAUGGGCGAAAGCCUGACGGAGCAACGCCGCGUGAGUGAUGAAGGUCUUCGGAUCGUAAAACUCUGUUAUUAGGGAAGAACAAAUGUGUAAGUAACUAUGCACGUCUUGACGGUACCUAAUCAGAAAGCCACGGCUAACUACGUG